CUGCCGAGUGCGGUCUGGGCGGCUGCCGGCUGCCGGCUGCCGGCUGGGCGCGGUGGCGCAGGACAGGGGCAGGGCAGGGCGGGGCGGGGCGGGGCUGGUAGAGUCGACGGCGAGGCACGGAACCAGGUGGCGAGUUAGGGCGGCGAGAUCGACGGGAGGCACUGCGCAGCGGCUGUCCUGGCGGCUACCGCGGCUGUGCGACGAGGGAGGUCCGUAUACGGCGCAU
rnacentral:lncRNA from 1 species